AGUUCGAUUCUGGCUCAGAUUGAACGCUGGCGGGAUGCUUUACGCACAUGCAAGUCGAACGGCAGCACGACUCUGGUCUGGUGGCGAGUGGCGAAAUGCAGAUAACAAUGGAACGUGCCUAGUAGCGGGGGAUAACUACGCGAAAGCGCAGCUGCUAAUGCCGCAUACCGCCCUUCGGGGGAAAGCGGGGACCUUCGGGCCUCGCACUAUUAGAGCGGCCGAUAUCGAUUAGCUAGCUGGUGGGGUAACGGCUCACCAAGGUGACGAUCCGUAGCUGGUUUGAGAGGACGACCAGCCACACUGGGACUGAGACACGGCCUAGACUCCUACGGGAGGCAGCAGUGGGGAAUUUUGACAAUGGGGAAACUUCCUGAUCCAGCCAUCCCGCGUGUGCGAUGAAGGCCUUCGGGUUGUAAAGCACUUUUGGCAGGAAAGAAACGGCACGGAUAAUACCCCGUGCAACUGACGGCACUGUAGAAUAAGCACCGCCAACUACGUGCCAGCAGCCGCGGUAAUACGUAGGGUGCAAGCGUUAAUCGGAAUUACUGGGCGAAGCGUGCGCAGGCGGUUCGGAAAGAAAGAUGUGAAAUCCCAGAGCUAACUUUGGAACUGCAUUUUUUAACUACCGAGCUAGAGGCAUUGGGAGGAGGUGGAAUUCCGCGUGUAGCAGUGAAAUGCGUAGAUAUGCGGAGGAACACCGAUGGCGAAGGCAGCUCUGGGAUAACACUGACGCUCAUGCACGAAAGCGUGGGGAGCAAACAGGAUUAGAUACCCCGGUAGUCCACGCCCUAAACGAUGUCAACUAGCUGUUGGGGCUCUCUGGCCUUGUAGCGCUAACGCGUGAAGUUGACCGCCUGGGGAGUACGGUCGCAAGAUUAAAACCUCGCCAGAAUUGACGGGGACCCGCACAAGCGGUGGAUGAUGUGGAUUAAUCUGAUGCACCGGGCGCGAAAAACCUUACCUACCCUUGACAUGUCUGGAAUCCUGAAGAGAUUUGGGAGUGCUCGCAAGAGAACCGGAACACAGGUGCUGCAUGGCUGUCGUCAGCUCGUGUCGUGAGAUGCUGGGUUAAAGUUCCGUAACGAGCAACCCCUUGUCAUUAGUUGCUACGAAAGGCACCCCCACGAGACUGCCGGUGACAAACCGGAGGAAGGUGGGGAUGACGUCAAGUCCUCAUGGCCCUUAUGGGUAGGGCUUCACACGUCAUACAAUGGUCGGGACAGAGGGUCGCCAACCCGCGAGGGGGAGCCAAUCCCAGAAACCCGAUCGUAGUCCGGAUCGCAGUCUGCAACUCGACUGCGUGAAGUCGGAAUCGCUAGCAAUCGCGGAUCAGCAUGUCGCGGUGAAUACGUUCCCUGGGUCUUGUACACACCGCCCGUCACACCAUGGGAGUGGCCCACUAGAAAGUAGUUAGCCUAACCGUAAGGAGGGCGAUUACCACGGUAGGAUUCAUGACUGGGGUGAAGUCGUAACAAAGGUAG
rnacentral:rRNA from 1 species